GACGAACGCUGGCGGCGUGCCUAAUACAUGCAAGUCGAGCGAAGUUUUUCUGGUGCUUGCACCGGAAAAACUUAGCGGGGAACGGGUGAGUAACACGUAAAGAACCUGCCUUAUAGUCUGGGACAUCUAUUGGAAACGAUAGCUAAUACCGGAUAACAGCAUUAAGUGCAGGGUUGAUGUUUGAAAGUUGGUUUUGCUAACAUUAUGAGAUGGCUUUGCGGUGCAUUAGCUAGUUGGUGGGGUAAAGGCCUACCAAGGCGACGAUGCAUAGCUGACCUGAGAGGGUGAUCGGCCACACUGGGACUGAGACACGGCCCAGACUCCUACGGGAGGCAGCAGUAGGGAAUCUUCCGCAAUGGGCGAAAGCCUGACGGAGCAACGCCGCGUGAGUGAAGAAGGAUUUCGGUUCGUAAAGCUCUGUUGUUAGGGAAGAAUGAUUGUGUAGUAACUAGACACCGUAGAGACGGUACCUAACCAGAAAGCCACGGCUAACUACGUG
rnacentral:rRNA from 1 species